UAUUUACUCUUGUUUUAAAGAUACCCGGAUUAUAAUUGGUAGGAAACAUAGAUCCCGGAAGAGUAUUCCAAACCGUAGCCAUGUGUAUGAGGAAUGACGACGCAAAACGUUUCGUGCGUGUAGAUGGAAUGAAAUAGAUGGAUGGAUUG